AGUGAACGCUGGCGGUAGGCCUAACACAUGCAAGUCGAACGGCAGCACAGUAAGAGCUUGCUCUUACGGGUGGCGAGUGGCGGACGGGUGAGGAAUACAUCGGAAUCUACUUUUUCGUGGGGGAUAACGUAGGGAAACUUACGCUAAUACCGCAUACGACCUACGGGUGAAAGCAGGGGAUCUUCGGACCUUGCGCGAUUGAAUGAGCCGAUGUCGGAUUAGCUAGUUGGCGGGGUAAAGGCCCACCAAGGCGACGAUCCGUAGCUGGUCUGAGAGGAUGAUCAGCCACACUGGAACUGAGACACGGUCCAGCCUCCUACGGGAGGCAGCAGUGGGGAAUAUUGGACAAUGGGCGCAAGCCUGCUCCAGCCAUACCGCGUGGGUGAAGAAGGCCUUCGGGUUGUAAAGCCCUUUUGUUGGGAAAGAAAAGCAGCAGGUUAAUACCCCGCUGUUCUGACGGUACCCAAAGAAUAAGCACCGGCUAACUUCGU
rnacentral:rRNA from 1 species